rnacentral:rRNA from 1 species
CAGAGUUUGAUCCUGGCUCAGAGUGAACGCUGGCGGUAGGCCUAACACAUGCAAGUCGAACGGCAGCACAGGAGAGCUUGCUCUCUGGGUGGCGAGUGGCGGACGGGUGAGGAAUACAUCGGAAUCUACUUUUUCGUGGGGGAUAACGUAGGGAAACUUACGCUAAUACCGCAUACGACCUACGGGUGAAAGCAGGGGAUCUUCGGACCUUGCGCGAUUGAAUGAGCCGAUGUCGGAUUAGCUAGUUGGCGGGGUAAAGGCCCACCAAGGCGACGAUCCGUAGCUGGUCUGAGAGGAUGAUCAGCCACACUGGAACUGAGACACGGUCCAGACUCCUACGGGAGGCAGCAGUGGGGAAUAUUGGACAAUGGGCGCAAGCCUGAUCCAGCCAUACCGCGUGGGUGAAGAAGGCCUUCGGGUUGUAAAGCCCCUUUGUUGGGAAAGAAAUCCAGCUGGCUAAUACCCGGUUGGGAUGACGGUACCCAAAGAAUAAGCACCGGCUAACUUCGUGCCAGCAGCCGCGGUAAUACGAAGGGUGCAAGCGUUACUCGGAAUUACUGGGCGUAA